rnacentral:rRNA from 1 species
GGGUCAGUAGGUUGGUCGUGCCACCGGUACGUACUGGUCUCGCCGAUUCCUCCUUCCUGAAGAACCGUAAUGCCAUUAAUUUGGUGUUGCGGGGAAACAGGACUGUUACUUUGAAAAAAUUAGAGUGUUUAAAGCAAGCUAACGCUUGAAUACAUUAGCAUGGAAUAAUGAAAUAGGACGAUCGAUCCUAUUUUGUUGGUUUCUAGGAUUGACGUA